GUGCUCUAUUCGGUAGCACACUCACUAAAACAUACCAGUACAGAGAAGAUUAACAUGGUCCCUGUGUAAGGAUGAAAUGCAAAUUUAUGAAGACUUCCACAUUUUU